AGGAGUAAAGGUUGUAGUUGAAGGAUAUGCAUUUAAAAAUUUGAAUAAGGUUUUGGAUAUUGACUUGAAACAAGUUUAGAUGUUAGUGGUUGGUUACAUGUAUUAAUGUGGUCAACUAAUUGUACAACUGACUCUGUUCAGUGGAAAGAAAGUAAAUAGGACCUAAUAAUAUUUAAUAUUUAGUUUAUUUAAUAUUUGAUUAAAUAUUUUAAAUAUUAUUUUCCAACUAAACCCACAUUUGAAACAUUGCAAUUUCUUUUGCAACGCAGUGGGUACAGUCUAGCUGUUGUCCUUGCCUCCUUCUGUCACAGACGUAAGAAUUGGCUGGGGUUGGACAAAGUCUGCCAAGAGAUGAUCUUUGUUGCAUGGCAUCAGUUUGUCAGAGAUGAAAUACGUGGUGGUAGGGAUUUGCUUUCAGUGAUGUUCUGCUGCAACACUGUUCAAAACCUGCCUUUCUUCCAGCAGAUCAGUGACGUGGUUCCCCAGCGGGAUGUUGGAUGUGCCAACCUGAAGGAUGACGCCUGGUUUCUAAGCUCCCAUCUGCUCUCCAUGGUAUGUUUAAAACUCAGCUCAGUGCUGUGUUCAGCUCAAUUCUCUUGUGCUGGCCAACAAGAAGGGUAAGUGUAGGAGUGAGAAAGAGCAGCAGAGCAUAAAAUAAUUUCUCUUGGUCAUGGAGCUAAUUCAUGGAGGCUUAAAGUGUUUCUAAGGCUGCAGCUCUGGCUAAAUGGAAAUCUAUUGCCAGCCAGAGAUAUGCUCUGUUUGUCCCUUGAAAUGCAUGAGGGCAGAAUUCAAAGUGCCUUCCAUAGCUUGAAUCAAAGCAAUGUAGGCUGGGAAAGUCAUCCCCCCUUUCUGAGAUCAGUCUCAGAUCUGACAGAGAUUCCUCUUACUUAGUUGUCUGCAGCCUUUCAAAAUUUGUGUAUGAUAAAUAUUUUCUAAUAGACACAUGGAUCCCGGGCAGUGAAUUGAAUCCCCUUGACAAUAGAUUUGUUUUGCUCAGUUUGCUUCUGCAAAUGCAUUAAAAGGAGUCCAUCAGUCAUUUCAGAUCCAGAUUUGUUGGUUGCAGACCAAUGAUCCAAUUUGUUCUUGAAUUCUGCGCUGAGGAUUAUGUGUGUGCAGGAGCUAUGCGACUGGAGAACUAAGUGAGCAAUUUGUGAGUGGAAGAGGAAGAUUAAAAUCUGCUGAUAUUUCAGAGAGGAAGUGGUGUAAAAUCUUUGUGAUCAUUUAAGCAUCCCUAGGAAAUGUGAGCUUAUUCCUGAUGUAGCUGGUCUUUGAAACUGCUUGUCGGAAAAUGGCUGAGAGUUGGGAACACGCGGCUGGAUGGGAACAAUUCGCUGAUUAAAUGCAGCAGGUAGCAUGUGCUAACCGGGAGAAAACGAGGUUCGUGUGUAACAACCUCCAUUUACAAGCCCCCCACGUAUGCACGGAUGCACACGACCUGAUUCUCCACUUACCCUCAGUAUAAAUCGGUGUAACAGCAGUAUAACAGCAGUAUAACAGCAGCGUAAAUGGGGGUCAGCUUUCCAAAUCCACCUUAAUUACAGCAUCCCGAGCAAGGAGGAAAAUAAAUACAACUAAAACCGGGGCUGAAAAACA
ensembl:lncRNA